AGUAAACAUGGACGAGCUGUGGAUGGCCCCUUGCCCGCUCAGACAGACACGUAUCCCAAUGCUUAUUUUGGAGUUUAUGAAAUGGAGGCUGACAAACAGACAUAUACAGAACUAAAGGAAUUUGAAACUAACAAUGGUUCAUCCACACAGGGAACUGCAACCUAUGAAGGUCUCCAAGCGCGAGUACCACAAGUAUAUGAGGACAUAAGGAAAUAGAACAGAAACAAACUGAGCAUCUUUACGGGAAAGAAAUGACACAGCUAUCCAGACCGAAUGAUGAUUUCAUAAACAAGA